GGUGCUUUGAGCUGUGUUUCUACAUAAAAAAGAAGGAAUCAAAGUGAUGCUGGUGUGACAAUAUAACAUUUGAAGCUGCUCCAAACAACUUUGACUGUAAGAAAAAGGCCAAGAGAAUACAAGAGGCUCUAACCAAGGACUCUGACUUCACUAAGCCACUGAAACAUUCCUGGCACUACCUACCUCCUGCCUUUUCGUUAUGGGAGGAAACCCUAUUGGUUAGGUCACUAAAAAUGGAAAAUAAAACCCCAU
rnacentral:lncRNA from 10 species